rnacentral:rRNA from 1 species
AGAUACGGAGGUAGAGCACUGAAUGUCCUAGGGGGUAUUGCACCUACCGAAGACUAUCAAACUCCGAAUGCCGUCAUCUUAUACUUGGGAGUCAGACUGUGGGUGAUAAGAUUCAUAGUCGAAAGGGCAACAGCCCAGAUCGUCAGCUAAGGUCCCUAAAUGUAAGUUAAGUGGUAAAGGAUGUGGGAUUGCACAGACAACCAGGAUGUUGGCUUAGAAGCAGCCACUCAUUCAAAGAGUGCGUAAUAGCCCACUGGUCGAGUGAUCCUGCGCCGAAGAUUUCCGGGGCUAAAACUUACUACCGAAGCUACGGCAUCAGUAAUGAUGGGUAGGGGAGCUUCCCAUACGGGUUGAAGCAUGACCGUAAGGACAUGU